ACGCUGUGGCAAAGUCCUUUGAACUAAAAUCUGUGAAGAACGGGAAAAAAAAAAAAAGUCACUUCUGGCCUUAGCUGUAUCCCUUCUAGCCUCAACCUUCAAAGUAUGGCAGUGUCACAAUGGUUGUAAAAACACUUUGUUUUUGUUUGUUUUGUUUAUUAACUUAUACCUUGCCUCCUGGUGGUGAACAACACCUGUCUACUGAACCCCAGGAAACUGAAGUUUGAGACCCCUUGUUAACAACUUCUCAUUUUUAGUCCAGAGAAUGUGAGAGAGUAACUGGCAGGAUAUUUCAUGAAUAGGCCUUUCUUUAAAAUAUGGCAUAUAUUAUUUGAGGUUUAAAGGACCAGGACGUUUAAAUUUAUUCUACAUUCUCAAAGAAGCCUUUUUUGCAUCUUGAGCCAAUCUUUAAUAGCUGCACUCUUUUUUCAGUCAAAUAAUAAGUUGAAAGGAAAAGUAGAGGCUAUAUUAGCCCUCAGAGGUCUGUUAGCCACAGCACCGAAGCGAAUAGCUAAAUUUCCUGGAUCAUCAUUUAUAGCCAUUCACCACACACAAAAGAUUACUUUGGAAACUUUCAUUGAAUUUCAUAAACCAUAGGAGGUCAUUCAGUGUAAAUGUCACAAGGUGACGAUCUUUAGGGGCGGAACCAAAAUUCGGGAAGUUUGGUUCCGCCCGGAAGUGUUUCCGCCCGGACCGGAAAAACAGAACACCGGAACUUCCGGUAGCGCCGUAAGAAGGAAAAUCAGGGAAUUCGAUGCACCUGUGCCUAGUUAGGGACAGCGGUUGGUGAUUGGAGGAUACGCUGGACAAGGCAGUACUUAAGGCCAAGUUAUUUCACAGUCUGAGCGUUCUUUCUGGCUGGAAUUGUAUGAUUGUGAAGACAUCGCGAACCUUAAAGGUUGAGAAGUGAACGGAUUAUACGGCGAACUGAGACGACGUGAAAAAGGGGAUUGGAAGCGGCAUUGAUGUGAGUACUAAGAGCCAGUCGAAAGUGCCCUGUAUAUUGACCUGGCGUUGUGUAGAUCUCUCCAGGAGGAGGAGGGCGGCCCUACCCCUAAUAUAGCGUGGUGGGAGAGCCGAAGGAAUACUUAUUGAAGUAGUCACAACGACGACAUCACUAGCUAGGCCGCAUAUUCCAUCGCCAGAUCCGAACCAAGCGAAGUGAAGGAAGACGGGUGUCCUUUUCGUACACUGAGUGUGGUGGGUGAGUCUUCAUGCUGUGAAAACCUAUAAUUUUGACGUGGUGCUGUAUAUUGCUGUGGGCUGCUGUGUAUUGCCGUGUGUCCUGUCAGAUAAACCCCCGCCUUCACGCACUUCGUCGCGGGAGGACAAGGAGACUGCUGGUCCUAGCCUAGUUCAGUACAGUAUAUGUUGUGAGCGUGCUUCAGAUCUCCGGAGAUAGCACGGUACGCUGUGUCCAGCCCAGAGGUGAAAGCCAUCCAAAGCAGAGUAACUGUGCUUUGUGUCCAAGUUGAUACCUGUGGAGAGAAAAGGAAAGAGAGAGUGAGUAACACAAGGAGAACCAGAGGGAACCUGUACUUACAGUACGCUGUGUUCAGCCCAGAGGUGAGAGCCAUUCAAAGCAAACUAACUGUGUUAUUGUGCCCAAGUUGAUACCUGUGGAGAGAAAAGGAGAGAGAGUGGGUAACACGAGGAGAGACCGAGGAAACCUGUACUUACGCCGCUGCCUAAAGAGAAAGCGACCGUUGCCUGUGGAGGAAGAGAAAGAGAGUGAGCACCUCGAGAACGAACUGUGUGAACCAGUACUUACCGUGAGCUGUAUUCAGCGAAGAGGAGGAAGAAGGAGGGCGCUACGGAUACCUAAGACUCAGGCCGGGGCCCGAGUCCCACGCCCCGGAUCCCCGUGGCCCCCUUGCUCCCUGACCUCUUCCCGGCCAUAGCCCAUCUGGAGGGCCGAGUCAGAGUUUAGUUUUAAUUGCCCUUUCCCUAUUCCCCAAGC
ensembl:lncRNA